CGUACACUCCUACGGGAGGCAGCAGUGGGGAAUAUUGGACAAUGGGCGCAAGCCUGAUACAGCCAUGCCGCGUGAGUGAUGAAGGCCCUAGGGUUGUAAAGCUCUUUCACCGGUGAAGAUAAUGACGGUAACCGGAGAAGAAGCCCCGGCUAACUUCGUGCCAGCAGCCGCGGUAAUACGAAGGGGGCUAGCGUUGUUCGGAUUUACUGGGCGUAAAGCGCACGUAGGCGGACUAUUAAGUCAGGGGUGAAAUCCCGGGGCUCAACCCCGGAACUGCCUUUGAUACUGGUAGUCUUGAGUUCGAGAGAGGUGAGGGGAAUUCCGAGGGUAGAGGUGAAAUUCGUAGAUAUUCGGAGGAACACCAGUGGCGAAGGCGGCUCACUGGCUCGAUACUGACGCUGAGGUGCGAAAGCGUGGGGAGCAAACAGGAGUAGAAACCCGGGUAGUCCCA
rnacentral:rRNA from 1 species